UACGGGGGGGGCAAGCGUUGUUCGGAAUUACUGGGCGUAAAGGGCUCGUAGGUGGCCAACUAAGUCAGACGUGAAAUCCCUCGGCUUAACCGGGGAACUGCGUCUGAUACUGGAUGGCUAGAGUGUGGUAGGGGAGAUCGGAAUUCCUGGUGUAGCGGUGAAAUGCGCAGAUAUCAGGAGGAACACCGGUGGCGAAGGCGGGUCUCUGGGCCGAUACUGACGCUGAGGAGCGAAAGCGUGGGGAGCGAACAGG
rnacentral:rRNA from 1 species